rnacentral:rRNA from 1 species
AUACAGAGGGUGCGAGCGUUAAUCGGAAUUACUGGGCGUAAAGCGCGCGUAGGCGGCUUAUUAAGUCAGAUGUGAAAUCCCCGGGCUCAACCUGGGAACUGCAUCUGAUACUGGUAAGCUAGAGUUUUGGAGAGGGAAGUAGAAUUUCAGGUGUAGCGGUGAAAUGCGUAGAGAUCUGAAGGAAUACCAGUGGCGAAGGCGACUUCCUGGCCAAAAACUGACGCUGAGGUGCGAAAGCGUGGGUAGCAAACGGGAUUAGAAACCCCGGUAGUCC